UUCUGCGUUCUUCCUUCUUCCAUCUCUUAUGUUUCUAUUUUCUCUAUCUUCCUCCUCCCACCUCAUUUUCUCUCUCUUCUGUUCCUCCUUCCAUCACAAGAGAAGACACACCUCAGCCGCCGUCUCCGUCACCUCCUCGCCGCCGUUGACCUCGCUACCGCUGCCCAUCGAUCUCGUCGCCGACAUCUCUCCUUAUCAAAUUCGUCGGCGAUCUCUCGUCCUUCUCAAGCUCAAGCUCAAGCUCAGAGACGAUCUCCACCGUCUAAUUAUCUGAAUUAUUCAGGCAAGAAAUUGUAGUUGAAAUCAUACUAUGUUUUUUGGAAAGAAGAUGAUGAUAAGGACUCAAUUCCUCUGCCUCCUCUUGUGUGUAGUGUUUUGGGUGGCUUAGCAUCGGUGGUGAGUGGUAUGCAGACAGGGGUGAGGCUGAAAGAGGAUGAUGUGUUAUCGCAGGACCUCCUGUUGCUCCGUCUCUUCAUUUCAUCUCAAGAUCCUAAGAGUUUCACACUUUGCAACGGAGAGGGGGGGUCAAGAUAUUGUUCGCCAUAGCAAAAUAAUCGGGAAGUCCGAGUGUGGUGCAGGAGAUGGUGCAGACAGGGGUGGAGACCAAGUUGUGCUUGGUUUUGCAGGUGGAUUGUGAAGCAAAGACAAAGAAGAAAACUAGAGAUAUCUUGAAGAUGUAUGCUAGGGCUUGGAAGAACUCUCCUUGGGCUCCUGCUCAUGUCUUUGGCUCUUUUUUAUUAAAUUCUAGUCCAAUUUAGAUUAGAGUAUUAAUUAAGGUUUAAAUUAUUUUUUGGAUGUACAUAAUAGGAUUGUCCUUUGAAAAUUAUUAUUAAGUUAACUAAGAUAUAUAAAUCAAAUGUUGUUUUAGUUAAAUAUAUAUGUUUUAUUUAAGAUUAAAAUUUUGAGGUA